rnacentral:lncRNA from 1 species
ACAACAGGUGGUGCAAUUUCCUAUAUUUGAAUACGGAGACUUUUGUACGCCUAAGCGCAAUUAUAUGAUGGAGUAAACGCUGCAAGCUUAUCGAGUCGGUACUCUACUCUUUCCCGACCCAGCGUUACCAAUUAUUCCAGCUGUUUUUACGCAGCUACUCUUUGUUUUGCAGCUCAAUACAACGCAACUUUACAGCGACACCAGCUUAGGUGGGGCGGGUUUAGUACUCUUUAGUAGUCGCUAGGCUUUUUAUUGCUUAGUCCUUGCCUGUUCGCUUCGCGUUUGUUGCUGCAUCUUUCUCUUUUCCUUUUUCUUAUCUUGUUUUUCGUAAGCUAAUUAUUACACAGGGAAGCAUAAGUCCCACGGAGCCGCUACGUCGCAACAUCCCGCGGGCCGCCACUGCGCAACAUCUUCGCUCGACGAGUCAGCGAGAUCAGCAGGAGGUAAGCAAGGUUUCGCGUAAGGGUACGCGUAGGGUGUCCACCUCAGGGUCUAGUACUAGCGAAGCCGCCCGUAUUUCGCGCUCGCGUUCCGAUAGUGGCUUAGCAGUACAGGUGGAACUUCCCCUGACUAAGUUAGCUCCUACUGAGGGUCAGGUUACUGCUCCACCAGAAACUACCGGAACAGAUUCCGAUAGGGAGAAGUGGUCGCGUCUCUUUGAAGCGCUAGGUAGGCCCCGCACCUACAUCAACCCUAUCUUUUCUAGGGACAGCGAUUCUGACGACGAAAUCAUGCAGAACCUUUACCCUACCCUCGACCCGUUCCAGCACAACGGGUUGGAUGACUUCCUCACCAAGGUUUUCCAGCAAGGAGUUGCCUACCCGCUCACUAGGAACAACUUGUCUGUUGAGAGCCUCAAAUCGUACCUUGACGCACUGCCUGGUCGUAA